rnacentral:tRNA from 4 species
CCGUCGACUUUAAAAAUCGUGAGGGUUCAAGUCCCUCUAUCCCCA